rnacentral:rRNA from 1 species
UACAGAGGGUGCAAGCGUUAAUCGGAAUUACUGGGCGUAAAGCGCGAGUAGGUGGUUUGUUAAGUUGGAUGUGAAAUCCCCGGGCUCAACCUGGGAACUGCAUUCAAAACUGACAAGCUAGAGUAUGGUAGAGGGUGGUGGAAUUUCCUGUGUAGCGGUGAAAUGCGUAGAUAUAGGAAGGAACACCAGUGGCGAAGGCGACCACCUGGACUGAUACUGACACUGAGGUGCGAAAGCGUGGGGAGUAAACAGG